ACUUCCUUGCAGUCGCUGUACAGGCAGAUGCAUUUUCAGUGCACGCUUCCGAGGUGACCAACACCUCUCCAGGAAGCCCGCCUUUCGCUGGGCAUCAUUACCAAGCGGUCCUCGCGAGCACUCGGCCCGCCGUUCCCCAGGAGCUCCUCGUUGUUGCACACCUGGAUGGUUCUCGCCUGCAGGCCAGCACAAACUGAAUGUUGAGAGGAGUUCGCCAGCCAACCUUCUCCAGCCCGCAGCGACUAUCACCAGGAUGUCACCAUCGCCGGGCAGGCCAGCACCUUCGGGGCUCUAUGACGUCGGCGAAGCUCCACCCUGGCCACGCCCCUCCAGGUGGAGCCAAUGGGAGCGCGAGGCGGGCAACUUGCCCCUUCGCCCCGCCCCUCCGGCGGAGCCAAUCGGAGGGCCGGGCCGCUCCGCCCUCCAGAGGCCCGCAAGGGCUGGCUCCUCCGCGGCGGGGCGCGAUGGACCCGGGCCCCGAGCCUGCUCGUCUCCGCGUCCGCCGGGCCGGGCCGCCGCCAGCUGAGGCGAAGCUGCCGGUGAACUACGAGGAGGAGCUGUACGACUGCCUCGACUACCACUACCUGCGUGACUUCCCGGCCUCCGGGGCGGGGCGCAGCAAGGGCCGGACGCGGCGCGAGCAGGAACUGCGCACCAACCGGCCGGUGCCCGGCGGCCACGAGCGCAAGGUCGCGCAGAGGCUCCUCAACGGCCAGCGGAAGCGUCGCCAGCGCCAGCUGCAGCCCCGGCCGCGCACUUGCCUCGCCUAAGCGCUGGUAGGUGCAGAUCGCGACCCGGGGCCGUCUUCCCGCCGGGGCUGCCCGGCCACGCUGCAGGGGUGCAAAGCCGCCUUCCGCCAGCCAUACCGCAGCCGGGCCCAAAGCCGCAACGAAGCGCAGGAACCGCUUGGAAGACAGGAGCGCUCUUCCAGCGCUCACAUUCACACUAGAGUACUGAUUUCUUUUUCUGUCUGAUUUUCUACAGGAUACUCAAAGGACCCGAUAAAAGUAUUUUCACUUAGUCCAACUGUAACUGUGGUCCUCCAUGUUGGUCAACAGAACUUUCGACAUCCUUAAGUUUGCUGCUUCAAUCUUUUCCUUACCAAUUGUUAAUUAAGUAACGUCCAAGUGGAUAUGCCUUUUAGAGUUUUUAAUUAAAACAGAACAGCAAGAAUGGCA